AUGGAGGUCCACGUCCUGAGCUCCAAGCUCGUCAAGCCCGCGUCCACCAAGCUGGCCGCCGGCGCCCCCGAGUACAUCCCUCUCUCUGUCUUUGACAAGGUGACGUACCAAAUGCAUAUGGCCAUGAUCUUUGCCUUUGCGGCGCCGGCGCCGGCGCCCACCGCGGCCGCUCUAGAGAAGGGCCUAGCUGUUGCCCUUUCGGAGUACCGCACCUUGGCGGGGCAGCUGGUCCGCAACCGCAGCGAGGGGCCGGUGGUGCUGCUCAAUGACCGGGGUGCCCGUGUGGUGGAGGCGUGCGUGGACGCCGACAUGGUGGAUGUGGAUGUGGCCUUGCCCAAUCCCAAGCCGGAGCUGCUGCAGCUGCUUCCGGACCUCGAGGAGGAAGCUAUCAAGGAGGUGGUGGUGCUGCAGCUCACGCGGUUCAGGUGCGGCUCCCUCGCGGUGGGGUUCGCCCGCAACCACGCCGUCGCCGACGGGCGCGCCACCAGCAACUUCCUCGUCGCGUGGGGACGUGCCACCAGGGGUCUCACUAUGGGUCUCCCGCCCAUGUACAAGUACAACCACCUCGACCUAUUCCAGCCACGCCCCUCUCACUGCAUCCACGAGUUCGAGUUCGACCACCGCAAUCGCGAGUACUACCUUCCACCACCGCCGGCGCCGGCGCCCACAGCGACCGCCGGCGACAAGAAGGUGAUCGUUGUACACAAGGCGCACUUCAGCAAGGACUGGAUCGCCGGCCUUCGCGACACCACCUCACAAGGGCGGGACCGCCCGUUUACCCGAUUCGAAACUAUUCUCGCCCAGCUGUGGCGCGCCAUGACACGGGCGCGGGGACUCUCACAGGACGACAUCUCCACGGUGCGUAUCUCAGUGGACGGCCGCAGCCGCCUCGGCAUGCCAGCGGAGUAUGCCAGCAACCUAGUCCUCUGGGCUUUCCCGCGCGCCAGGGUGUCCGACCUGCUGGGACAACCGCUGAGUCACGCCGCGCAGCUCAUCCACGACGAGGUGGCUAGGGUGGCGGACCCGGCCUACUUCCGGUCGUUUGUGGACUUUGCCACCUCCGGCCUUGUCGAGCAGGAAGGACUUGCGCCGAGCUCCGAGAUCAACAUGAGGGACGUGCUGUGCCCCGACUUGGAGGUGCACAGCUGGCUCACCUUUCAGUUCUACGACAUGGACUUCGGCACGGGCACCCCAACGUACGUCAUGCCGUCCUACAUCCCGGCGGAAGGGCUUAUCUUCCUUGCGCCGUCCUACAUCGGGGACGGCAGCAUCGACGCCUUCGUGCCUGUCUUCCAAGACAACCUCGAGGCCUUCAAGCAGUGUCUCUACUCCAUCGAUCACCAUGACAAAGAGUAG
rnacentral:rRNA from 1 species